CUGCGAGGUUCGAAAGCUCCGGCGGUGCAGGAUGAGCCCGCGGCCUAUCAGCUAGUUGGUGAGGUAACGGCUCACCAAGGCGACGACGGGUAGCCGGCCUGAGAGGGCGACCGGCCACACUGGGACUGAGACACGGCCCAGACUCCUACGGGAGGCAGCAGUGGGGAAUAUUGCACAAUGGGCGAAAGCCUGAUGCAKCGACGCCGCGUGAGGGAUGACGGCCUUCGGGUUGUAAACCUCUUUCAGCAGGGAAGAAGCGAAAGUGACGGUACCUGCAGAAGAAGCGCCGGCUAACUACGUGCCAGCAGCCGCGGUAAUACGUAGGGCGCAAGCGUUGUCCGGAAUUAUUGGGCGUAAAGAGCUCGUAGGCGGCUUGUCACGUCGGUUGUGAAAGCCCGGGGCUUAACCCCGGGUCUGCAGUCGAUACGGGCAGGCUAGAGUUCGGUAGGGGAGAUCGGAAUUCCUGGUGUAGCGGUGAAAUGCGCAGAUAUCAGGAGGAACACCGGUGGCGAAGGCGGAUCUCUGGGCCGAUACUGACGCUGAGGAGCGAAAGCGUGGGGAGCGAACAGGAUUAGAUACCCUGGUAGUCCACGCCGUAAACGGUGGGCACUAGGUGUGGGCAACAUUCCACGUUGUCCGUGCCGCAGCUAACGCAUUAAGUGCCCCGCCUGGGGAGUACGGCCGCAAGGCUAAAACUCAAAGGAAUUGACCGGGGGCCCGCACAAGCGGCGGGAGCAUGUGGCUUUAAUUCGACGCAACGCCAAAAAACCUUACCAAGGCUUGACAUACACCGGAAAAACCCUGGGAAACAGGGUCCCCCUUGUUGGUCGGGGGUACAGGUGGGUGCAUGGCUUGUCGUCCACCUCUGGUCCUGGAGAUGUUGGGGUUAAGUCCCCGCAACGAGNCGCAACCCUUUGUWCCCGGGUUUGCCCAGCAGGCCCCUUGGGGGUGGCUGGGGGAACCCCCGGGGAAAACCCCCCGGGG
rnacentral:rRNA from 1 species